rnacentral:rRNA from 1 species
GACGGAACCGUGCGAACGUUGUUCGGAAUCACUGGGCUUAAAGGGCGCGUAGGCGGGCGGCAAAGUCAGGGGUGAAAUCCUCCAGCUUAACUGGAGAAGUGCCUUUGAUACUGGUCGUCUUGAGGAAGGUAGGGGCAUGCGGAACUGAUGGUGGAGCGGUGAAAUGUGUUGAUAUCAUCAGGAACUCCGGUGGCGAAAGCGGCGUGCUGACCUUUUCUGACGCUGAUGCGCGAAAGCCAGGGGAGCAAACGGG